CAUUUUAAGCACAAACUUUAACCACAUGGUAUCAAGGUCCUCAUUAGCAGGUCAAAAUGUGGUAACUUAAUUUUUUGAGGAGCUUUUAAAUGGAUUUCAGUGCGCUAAUUCCAUUACAACUGAGAAAACUCCCACUCAGCAAAGUCCCUUCUCUGACGAGGACCGUGGGAUAUGGAUGAAAGCCUGCAGAAGAGGAAGAAGUGGACCUUGAGUUAAAGUUAGUUUGUUAACCUGCUCUAUUCGCAGUCUAAUAUUUACUCACAUACAGUGGUGAAGAAGUACUCAGAAGAAAAACUAUUCAUGAAAGUUGGCCCAUUUCAAAAUAAUAUAUUAUAUGGUGAGUAAUGAGCAAAAGUACAGAAUAGCAGAAAAUUGAAAUAAAAACUGUUCUUAAGGACAAUACUUGAGCAAAUGUACUUAGUUGCUUUCCAUCACUGCUCGGACAGUAUUUUGUUUUUCAAAGAAAUACCCUCCUGUCAUACAUUUGAAGCACUGGCCAUUUUUACAUUUUCAUCUAUUUCACUAAAUAAGUACUUUUUACUUUUCCACUCCAUUUAUCUAAUAGCUGUAAAACAUUGACGGAGCUCAUGUAUUUGAAUGGAGUUAGACUUUAAAUAAGCCAGGAGUAUGUUAAGAAAGUAGGAGGCCUACUAUAUUAAAUUCCUUUUUUAUGCUAUAUAGGACAUGGAGGAUUCUCCUCAUUAAACACAUGGUGCAGGUGUCACUGUUCUGAGUUCAGUGCAAUACAACACUGGAAAAAGAACCAUUCUUUACAAUGAGUUUUGAUAUGUUACUCCAAAUUCUUACUUUUACUUAAAAUAUCAAAUUAGGAAAAUGUAAUUUAAGGUGGUAUUGAUACUUUACUUGAGUAAAUAAUUACUUCUUCCCCCUCAGCAGUUUUAAAAGUCAUUCAUGAGCAGUAGGCAAAAGGGAAUUACUGCUGCAUCAUGCUAAAACAAGAUUAUAGGGGUUUCUCUGCAUUUAUGAUAUACAGCAUAUCAUUUAUUCUGUUAUGAAUUACUUACAAAAACUCUCUAAAAAACCCUCCAGUGGCCAAUAUGGUUUUAACUAACAACUGGGGUUUCCAACAGCAGUUGCACAUAACUCCAUGAAGAUAAUACAUAUAAUCUGAGUAACACAAGUAAAGAGGAGAUGCUAAAGAGCAGUGAAAAAAAAAAAAAAUGAGUAAUGAUAUUAGAAGUCAGACAGAUUUAAUUUCCAAUAAACAUGUAAACGAUAAUACAAAUUUGUCAGAGUUAAUGUUGUAGUCUGGAUUGACAACAAUUUUCUUAUUUCAUAAUUUAUGUUUAUUAAAUGAGAUUUUGUUUCACUGUAAUGCACAGCAGACAAUUACUUCACUUUUUACUGUUCUAGUUGAUUGUUCAAUUGCUUGUUUUUUAUCAGUUUUGUUGCUAGGUUUUGGUCACUGACUCACUGACAUUUGCACAUUUAAUUGUUCAGAAGUUGUUGAAUAAAA